GCGUCCAUGACGAAACUGCUCCAAAAUCUGAUUAUUGGCCCAAAAUCCUCUAUGUUUUUUCUGUCUUCAGUUUUCUGUUCAUGCAAACUUAGUCAUUGACUUUUAGGGCAUCUUUGAUGUAGAUUUUGUGAAAAGUGAUUUUUUUUUUUGGAGAAUUUGUAGCUAAAAAGUAGGAAAAAGUUACGAAUUUACUUGCAAAAUUAUUUUAUUGGGAGGUAUUGCAGUUGGAAAUCAGUUCGAAAAAAUGAGUGUUAUAGAAUUUGUAUCGUACUGGACUUAAUGUUUGCAUGUGCCUUUGUUUUUUGGGUUAUUUUUUUGCUUAAAUUUGGUAGGGAAUAACAGAAUAAACUACCAUCAUUCUUGAAUCAACUCUUCUGAGUUGUGUGUUGGUACACGGAAACAUGAUCAUUGUAAAUAUGUGCAGGACCUGCUCGGAAUUGGAGAGUAUCGGCCUGGGGCAAGCCAUGCUAACCCGUAAACUAUGGUUCAGCCCACUUUUCUUCUGGCAACCUCACCUGCUAGUUUUGAAGGGGAUGCAUACUAAAUUACUCUUUGGUACCGUGAGAGAGAGAGUCAGUGUUCAUUAUUGAUAUAUAGUAACUCCUUUCAUUGGAUCUUCUAUUUCUUGAACUAUCCCAAAUACUUGCUAAUGGUUUCAUAAAAUCCAAUUACAUCUUGUAUCCUCUGAAACAGUUGUUGUAAUUGUACUUGAUUGUAUCAAAUAUUUCAUAUGGUAAAGAUGAAAAGAGUAACUGAAUUUCAAUGCCUUGUCUGGUAAUGGUACAUUGGCAAGGAAAUGUCUGUCACAGCAUUUCUUAAAGUGGUAGAUGACACCACUUCCUUUCGGUUCUUCCCAUGUCCUCUUUGUAUUUUAACUUGUAAGUGAUAAUAACUUUGAUUAGAUAAACACUGUAGAACGGUCAAUUUUUUUCAUG
rnacentral:lncRNA from 1 species